GACGAACGCUGGCGGCGUGCUUAACACAUGCAAGUCGAACGGUAAGGCCCUGCUUUUGUGGGGUGCUCGAGUGGCGAACGGGUGAGUAACACGCGAGUAACCUGCCUCUGACUUUGGGAUAACUUCAGGAAACUGGGGUUCCUACCGGAUAGGAGCUCCUGCUGCAUGGUGGUGGUUGGAAAGUUUCGGCGGUUGGGGAUGGACUCGCGGCUUAUCAGCUUGUUGGUGGGGUAGUGGCUUACCAAGGCUUUGACGGGUAGCCGGCCUGAGAGGGUGACCGGCCACAUUGGGACUGAGAUACGGCCCAGACUCCUACGGGAGGCAGCAGUGGGGAAUAUUGCACAAUGGGCGGAAGCCUGAUGCAGCAACGCCGCGUGCGGGAUGACGGACUUCGGGUUGUAAACCGCUUUCGCCUGUGACGAAGCGUGAGUGACGGUAAUGGGUGAAGAAGCACCGGCUAACUACGUG
rnacentral:rRNA from 1 species